rnacentral:snoRNA from 1 species
GGGUGGAUGAUGGCACCCUAACAUGCAUUUCUUGGAAAAGCUGAACACCUGAGUGAGAAAUCCCUACCAUCUCCUCGCAUCAAAUCGAGGUCC